rnacentral:lncRNA from 1 species
UCAUUGCAUCCUGCCAUGCUGGGACAGAUGCAGCUUGAGAGUAAUACAUAGGUUCAGAUUCCAAAGUGGAGGAAGAAGAACCAGAAAAUGCAGGGAGUGGACAGACAUAAUCCUUAAGGUAGGAAGGAGGAUUAUGAUGUCUAGUAGACUUUCUGGAAGUGGGAAGAGGAUGAGAAGGAGGUAACAUAGGAGCAGGGAGAUCAGGAUUGAAAGAAGGAAGGGAAGAUGGACCAACAUCAGGAAAAUUAGGUGCAGGAGAAUCAGAAUUAGAAGGAAGGACAAGAUAAUCAGGGGAAGUAAAGAGAGGAAAGUCUGAGACAGGAAAAUCAUCAGUAGGAGGAACAGGAGGAACAGAUGAAGAAGAAGGAUGAUCAGGAAUAGGAUUAUUCUUAAAAGGAAAACAGGAUUCAUGAAAGACAACAUCCCUUGAAACAGAACACUUCUUGGUAACCAAGUCAUACAGUUUAUAACCCUUCUUAGCAAAGGGGUAACCCAGAAACACACAAGAAUGGGCUCUAGGUUUCAGCUUGUCCCUUUGAGGGAUAGGGACAGCAGUAUAAGCAAGGCAUCCAAAUGCUCUCAAAUGAGAAAAGGAUAGAGCUUUGCCAUACAAAAUUUCAUGGGGAGACUUAUGGUGAAGAAUUCUGGAAGGUAGUUUGUUGAGGAGAUAGGUGGCAGUUAACAAACAAUCCCCCCAGAAAGACACAGGUAGGCCAGACUGAAAAAGCAGGGCUCUACAUGUUUCAAGUAGUGUUCUGUGUUUUCUUUCUACAACACCAUUCUACUGAGGUGAGUGAGGGCAAGAAGUUUGAUGAAUAAUCCCCUGGCUACUAAAAAAGGAUAUGCCAUCAGUGCUGGAUCCCAAUUCUAAGGCAUUGUCACUUCUGACAGUCUGAACCACAGAGUUAAACUGAGUCUUAACAAAGGAAAUGAAAGACUUAAGCAGGGAAAAGGCAUUGCUUUUGGAUCCCAUUAAAUGUGUCCAGGUUGCCCUAGAAAAGUCAUCAACUAUAGUAAGAAAGUAUUUAUAACCAGAAGAAGUAGAAGUGUGGUAAGGUCCCCAAGUGUCCACAUGUAUUAAUUGAAAUGGUCUAGUUGUACUGAUACUGCUAUCAUGAAAAGGAAGUCUAGUCUGCUUUGCAAUAGGGCAGACAGAACAAGGAAAGGGUUGUUUAGGAGCAAGAGGAAAAGACAAACCAGAAAUAUGUCUCAUAUUUGCAAAAGGAGUAUGUGCCAGUCUUAAAUACCAAAUGUAAUUCAUAUCAUUAAUAACAACAUUAUUACAAGUGGAAUUGUUUACAAGUGAAGGUAAGGCAACAUUUUUGCUGUCAGACAAAGUGUCAUCAUUACGAUGUAAUUCAUAUCAUUGAUAACAGCAUUAUUACAAAUGGAAUUGCUUACAAGUGGAGGUAAGGCAACAUUUUUGCUGUCAGACAAAGUGUCAUCAUUACAAAAAUUAGACAAAGCACACACAGAAGUAAAAGGAGAAACAGAAGAGGGAGAAGGGGAAGGAGGCACCCAAGACAGUUUGUAUACAGACAAAGCACAUACAGAGGUAAAUGAAGAACCAGGAGAGGAAGAAGGGGUAGGUGGCACCCAAGACAGUUUGUAUAAGCCAGCUUCCUCUUUACCAAGAUCCAGAGGCCUCUUCAGAGAAGGGUCCGGUAUCAUGUGAAGUAAACAGGAAGUUGGAGUGAACCAAACUAUACAAUGCAACUGUUUAAUCAACUUGUGAACAGAAAUCAAGUUAUGUUUAAAGGAAGGAACCAGAAGGACAUUAUGAAGAGUAAGGGAAGAAGUUAAUGCAAAAGAACCUGUACAAGUUACUUUUACUUCGUAACCAUUAGGUAAAGUCACAAGAUAAGGAACAGUCAAUGGUAUGAUGUUAAAAAGUAGGUUUUUAUCAUGUGUCAUAUGGUUAAAUGCCCCUGAAUCAAUGAUCCAGGUGACAGAAUUAAUGUGUGUGAGCAUGCAUAAUUUGGAAUCAGAAACAAGACUCUCAGUCAACAUUGUACCAGCAAAAUUGGCAGCACACAUGGGAGGAGGAGCUUGAUCACUGGAAUCCCCUAACUUGGUCUGUUGCAACAGGUUCAUCAAUUGAUUAUAGUGAUGUCUGCUCAACCCUGGUAUCACAGAACUGUGACCAUCUAUGUGGCUGGCAGAAGGAUCCCCAAGAGGAACAGACAAAUUAGGAUUCACAUGACUAACAGACACAGAUUCAACACCAGUGGAGACAUGAUCAGCUGCAGAUUUCCUUCCCUUGUUGUAAUUUAUGCUUUGAGGGAACCCAUGUAUUUUGUAGCACUUAUCAAUUAAGUGCCCAGAUUUCUUGCAGUAUCUGCAAAAUAGGGGCCCUCUGCUUUGCUCAAAAUUAAUUCUGGGUCUUAAAAUAGGAGGUCGAGGCACUGUGGCCUGAUUAAACCCAACUGAGUGCUUGUUUGUAUGAGCAUUAAAAGACAUAGAAUCUGGACUGAUAUGAGAAAUAGAUUGAACUUGUCUUUGUUUCUCAUCAUUAAGCACUAUGUUGUAAACACUGUCAAGGGAAGGAAAUGGCUGCAUCAUNNNN